UGGUUGCUGCUGUCCCACUGCAAUUAUGCUCCAGUGUAAAAUGUCACAUGGAUUGCAGUCACCCUGACAUCUUCAUGUACACAUGUCUAGAAGCCAUUAUGGAUUCAUCACCUCACUUUCCCAGAACUACUACAUGUGAUUACUGGGAAAUCAUAACAGCGUAGAAAUCUAAUGCUAUACUUGGAUGUGGGUAGAGGAGUCCCAAAUGACUACAAUAGUUAAGUCCUAAUUCAGCCAUCCUUGACCAAAAAGGUGGCAGGUCUUACAGGAGACAGGCUGAUGAGAGUAGGAGGAUCUGGCUCCAGGAUUGGAUGGAUAGGAUCAAAGGGACACCAAGGACACAGUACGUCUCAAGGAGCCGACUCACAUGCUGUCCCUCCAUGAGGCCCUCACAUUUAUGCUGCACCAUGACUGGCGCCUGUGGGAUGAUGAGCUCCUCGUUUCUGUUUCUCACCACUAGCAUCACUCAGCAUUGUGUGAGCUGCAGACAGUUCUGAGUAUAGAUCCAGAUUCUCCCAGCGAAUUUAUAUUAAAACCUUUCCUGACUCCCACAUUUUGACCAUAAAGACACAAUCCAUUUCAACUA